AGUAUAAACCCCUAAGCAGGCUCUUCCACUUCCUCUUUCUUUGAUGAGGUCGAGCAGGAGAGCAAGGAAACCAACGAAUCCACCUUGUAACAGACACAUCCAGAGAAACAAUCGUCAAGCCCAGAGAGAAAACAGAUUACACUGCAAGAAAACAGAAAACAUCGUGAAAGUAAACUGUCAAGGCAAGAUGUCAUAUCCAUACAAUAUCACUUUCACAUCAUAAUACCUGAUGAAUAAACAAAGUCUACAUAUCUUAUGAAGACCUAAUAUGUACCUAAGCUAAAAGGCAUUGAUGAAACAUAAUUACAACACAAACAUGAUGAAUAAAAUGCACACGGACAACCAUCACUGAAUAUUAGAAAUAACCUUUAUUAUGUAAAACCAUGCAUUCACAAAACAUAACAAUAUCCCCAAUUAUUUAUAAUAUAAUAAAACCCAGAUCCAGGGAGGGAA